CCGAGUUAGGGUCGCCCCCGCGCGCCCGACCUCCAACCCUUUGUCUACCUGACCAACAUGUUGCUUCGGCAGGCCCGCCGACCCCCCUUCGCGGGGGGGAGGCCGCCGGGGGUCUCACGACCCCGGGCCCGCGCCUGUCGACGGCCCCAAAUUAAAACUCUUGUUAAAAACCGUGUCGUCUGAGUACCACAUUUUAAUCAAAUUA
rnacentral:misc_RNA from 1 species